GGCAAACGUUCGCUCCUCACGCUUCAGAGAGAGUGCGGACUUCCUCUCUAUACAUGCGUACAGGCUCUCAUGAAUCAUUCAGACAACUCUACACUUAUUUUUAAUGGUCAAGCAAGAUCGGAGAAAAAAAAAACACACCGCUGCAGGAAUGAGCCUCCGUUAAAAAAAAUUAAAAUUGAGAGUAACGCUAAGGCUUCACAUGGAGACAAACAACAAAUCUGAACCAAUAAGCUUGACACGCCACCCCCCCCCCCCCCCCAAAGCGAGAACACAAAUUCACAAUUAAGCAAUGAUGCUCAGCUACAAGAUAUGCGGUUGAAAAGAACUGAUUGAUUUACCAGAGAGAAGAUGCGCUGAUCAGAAGAGCUACAUUGAAUUUAGACAAAAGCUCAUCAAGCAGACUGGGAAGACAAGGGGGGAAAAAAAACUUAAGCACAAAAUGGGAAACGGAUCUAUCAACGUAUAAAUGUCAUGUUCAACCGAAAGUUGAAGAAAACAAAGAUGACAAUUUUGAAUCGCUUUUUCAGAGCGUGAACAAAACCUCGGCUGCGUUUUACUCGCUUGUCGCCAGCGGGAAAGAAUCUUGGCCGCGUUUUACUUACUCGUCUAAGAGGGCAAAUGAAACGUGACAAAAUAUUGCAUCAACAGUCCAAAGCGAUGCUUUACUCACUUGUUGCCAACGGAACGGAACCUAGCCUCGCCGUUGUUUCACUCAUUUCCCGGGAAAGAUAUAUGAAACCUAGCAACAUUUUACUGAAUGGUAGGGAAUGAAAACAAAUCUUUGCUACUUUUUAAAUCGCUUGUUGCCUUGGCGUAAGCGAAACUCUUACUCACUUUGUGUCACCGUGAGUCUUGAAUGUGUUUUAACCGAAUCUUACCAAUGUUUAAACUCCCUAUUUGCGGACGUAAAGGAACCUAAGCUAGGUUCACGGUAUCAACAAACCUUGGCUAUGUCUUCCACCCUGUUGGGAAGGCAAACUAUCUCUGUUUUUCCCACUCGGUAUUGAAUCUUAACCUACAGUUUCCUAGUUUCCUGGUCAAACUGUGUGCUCAGUGCUCAACAAAUAAUUAGUGGAGAAGUCAUAUGUAUGCAUUGGUGUCAGCAAAACAAAAUAUGUUGACGCUCUUGUUGUCGUGAUUGUAUAAACGUGCACCUGAUAAAGUCCAUAUUGAUGUCAUCUGCCUGUAGCUGCUUGGUUUUGCCUGUUCAAAAAGCGUGUGGUCCCUGCGGUAGGCGUGCAAAGAAAGCUGACUUUGCAGCAUUGUCCUACAAUCAAAAGUUGCAUCCAAACAUAACAAUGACUCACAGUAACAAAAAUUGGCCAUGCAGCACCUUUUUUUUUUGAAAACGCAGCCACUGAAAUAGCAUGAAAUUUGGUUUGGAUGUCCAAUAGUGUCUGAGGAAGCCAGGCCGAAAGACACACAAGAAGUCUGCCACUUUGGUUGAAACGACUCUUUCACAGUCAUUUUGGGCAUUUUGAAGGGUCCAUAAAUUUA